CCUACGGGAGGCAGCAGUGAGGAAUAUUGGUCAAUGGACGGAAGUCUGAACCAGCCAUGCCGCGUGCAGGAAGACGGCUCUAUGAGUUGUAAACUGCUUUUGUACAAGGGUAAACCUGAAUACGUGUAUUCAGCUGAAAGUACUGUACGAAUAAGGAUCGGCUAACUCCGUGCCAGCAGCCGCGGUAAUACGGAGGAUCCAAGCGUUAUCCGGAUUUAUUGGGUUUAAAGGGUGCGUAGGCGGAUUGAUAAGUUAGAGGUUAAAUGUCCGAGCUUAACUCGGGAACUGCCUCUAGCACUGUUGAUCUAGAGAGUAGAUGCGGUAGGCGGAAUGUAUGGUGUAGCGGUGAAAUGCUUAGAGAUCAUACAGAACACCGAUUGCGAAGGCAGCUUACCAAUCUAUAUCUGACGUUGAGGCACGAAAGCGUGGGGAGCAAACAGGAUUAGAUACCCGGGUAGUC
rnacentral:rRNA from 1 species